rnacentral:lncRNA from 1 species
GGAUCGUGGGGUGCUGGGCGGUCCAUGGAGGCCGCAUGGACCAUCACGCAGUCCACGCAUGGUCCAUGGGUAUUUUUGUACGAUUCAGUAGCUCUGGAGCGAGCCAUUCAUGAUCGGAUGGCUAAGGAUGACUUCGGGCAUGAUUAGGCUUGAUCUGAGGCUAUAGUGUGCGAUCGAAUGACUCUAGUGCGACCCAAUCAC